GCGGCAACGACGGGGGUCCCUCACGGCAGCGCCAACGCGCGGAGCGGAGUGGCUGCUGCAGCAGGACCCGGCGAGGCAGCGGCGGCAGGACGGGCUCGGAGACUGCGGCGCGCCAAGGGGGCGGAACCGGCUCACACGGCCGGCCGCGCCUUCAGGGCUCCGCUGCGGCAGGUCACGUCCCACCGAGCCUCACUGCACGUCUGACUGCGGAUGGCAGCGCGCAUGCCCGCCCCGGCGGCCAAUGGGGGGGCGAACGGCGGCACGCGCGCGCCGGGCAACCAAUGAGGGCGCGAGUAGCGCACGCGCAUGCCUAGCAGCCAAUUAGGGCGCGAGCUACUGCGCAGCGCGGGGCACCAUUUCCCACCUGCUGCAACGCGCAUGUGCAAAGGCGUCACACGGAGAGGGCUCGACAUGGAGAACGCGAGCUCCGCUUCGCCCUUCCCGCCCUCCCGGCCUGAGCCAAUGGGAGCUGCCCCAGUCGGUUGAGUGAUGGACCUAUGAGCAAAUGGGGGUGCAGGACGCUCCACUGCCCCCCGGUGUGCGCAGCGGGCCGUGCCGCCUGCUGGGGCGGCGCAUGCGUAGAGCGGGCUCGGCGGGGGCCGCGCGGGGGUGGCUGAGGGCGGCCCGGGGUCCCUCAGCGCUGGGAGCGGCUCGGGGCCGGAGAGCCCUCACAGGCAUCGGAGAAAUGGUGGCCAGCACAAAUCCUCUCCUAUCUCCGCCCCUAAGGGGGAAGUGUGUGCCCCAACCCUGCCCUCUGCAGGGCACAGCAGCAGGGCCACGGACAGCACCGAGGGGCUGGACGGUGGUGCUAGCCUCUCUGCCCGGGCCCUGCUGCCCUCUGCUGCCUGUCAGGGCCGGUGAGGGAGAGGAGUUCAGGAUCGGGGCUGUGUGCAGCGUGUUCUCUGAGCCUCCGUGUGCCACCAGAGCUGUCCCUGAGGGGACACCUGUGCCCUGCCCAGCGAGGCAGUGAGUCCCGAAGCACUGCUUGUGCUUUGUGCUCCACGGGGUAGCUCUACACCCAAUUUGUUCCUCCAGUGAGCCAGGCUGGCCUGUGCUGCCAGAACUCCUUCAUGGAACAUGUGUUCCCUCACUUGCUAGGAGGGAAUGCUGUGCUCAGCCUGCCCCACCACAGCAGCCCUGUGGGAAUUCCCCAGGGAUACCCUGGAAAUAAAAACCUUGAAGGAAAAGGAGAUGCUGGAUGC
rnacentral:lncRNA from 1 species